GUACACUCCUACGGGAGGCAGCAGUGGGGAAUUUUGGACAAUGGGCGAAAGCCUGAUCCAGCAAUGCCGCGUGAGUGAAGAAGGCCUUCGGGUUGUAAAGCUCUUUUGUCAGGGAAGAAACGGUGAAAGCUAAUAUCUUUUGCUAAUGACGGUACCUGAAGAAUAAGCACCGGCUAACUACGUGCCAGCAGCCGCGGUAAUACGUAGGGUGCAAGCGUUAAUCGGAAUUACUGGGCGUAAAGCGUGCGCAGGCGGUUUUGUAAGUCUGAUGUGAAAUCCCCGGGCUCAACCUGGGAAUUGCAUUGGAGACUGCAGGGCUAGAAUCUGGCAGAGGGGGGUAGAAUUCCACGUGUAGCAGUGAAAUGCGUAGAUAUGUGGAGGAACACCGAUGGCGAAGGCAGCCCCCUGGGUCAAGAUUGACGCUCAUGCACGAAAGCGUGGGGAGCAAACAGGAUUAGAUACCCUUGUAGUCCCAUGA
rnacentral:rRNA from 1 species